rnacentral:rRNA from 1 species
GGAUUCCCCAAGUAGCGGCGAGCGAACAGGGAUGAGCCCAGCGCCGAAUCCCGCGUCCGGUCUACGGGCGCCGGGAAAUGUGGCGUUAGGGAGUGCCCAAUUUCCCGGGGCCAUUGCGGCGCGCCUAAGUCCUUCUUGAACGGGGCCACUCGCCCAGAGAGGGUGCCAGGCCCGUGACGGCCGCCGAGGGUUCCGGGAGGGCGUCUCCUGAGAGUCGGGUUGCUUGAGAGUGCAGCUCUAAGCGGGUGGUAAACUCCAUCUAAGGCUAAAUACGACCACGAGACCGAUAGCGAACAAGUACCGUGAGGGAAAGUUGAAAAGCACUUUGAAGAGAGAGUUCAAGAGUACGUGAAACCGUUCAGGGGUAAACCUGAGAAACCCGAAUGGUACGGGCGGGAGAUUCAUAUGUUCAUCGCGGGCGGCGGUUGGUGCGUGCGCUGACGGGGCACCGGUUUCGGCCGGCGCUUCGCGCGUCGCGCCGCCGUCCGUCUGCGGCGGCGUGCACUUCUCCCGCCACAGAGAGGUCGCGACCCGUCUGGUGCCGGUCUGAAGGCCCGCGUGCGCAGACCGCCGUCGUCAUCUGGCGACGGCGGAGCCGCGGCGUCCCGGCCGGCCGCCGGACGGUAUCGAACGAGAACGGUACGGAGCCGCCGACGCUUGCGUCGGCGUCCGGCCCGUCGCGAGCUGGGGCGUUCUUCGUCCGGCGGUCGGACUCGCGUCCGGCCCCGGCACCGCUCCGCUGUCGGCGACGGCGUCCCCGGACAGACUCCGCCACACCGGUCUGCGACGCUUCAGCUUCGGGUAAUUUCAGGACCCGUCUUGAAACACGGACCAAGGAGUCUAGCAUGCGCGCGAGUCAUUGGGAUUCGCUAAGCCUAAAGGCGAAAUGAAAGUGAAGGUACGCCUCGUUGCGGACCGAGGGAGGAUGGGUCGCGUCGCGACGCGGCCCCGCACUCCCGGGGCGUCUCUCGGCCUCAUCGCGAGGCAAGGCGCACCCAGAGCGUGCACGCUGGGACCCGAAAGAU